rnacentral:pre_miRNA from 1 species
AAUAACUUUAUUUUUCAGUUUUUAUACAAUGUCUUAACUCUUCGUCUUAUUUGAAAUUUUUUUGCGAUUAAUUUUUUUAUUGUUACUAGAUGAUAAAAUAUAAAUAAUAUUUUAUACGUGACUAUUUUUUAAAUUUUUUUUACAAAAUUUUUAAAUAAGACGAAUAAUCAACCGUUGAACAUAGAAAAACGAAAACUGAAGUAAUU